CAGGCAUGGAUGGUCCACCAGGGUAUUCGGGACCACCUGGUCCACCAGGUCCUCCAGGACUUCCAGGUGAAAAGGGUCAAAUGGGUUUGAGUUUUCAAGGACCCAAAGGUGACAAGGGUGAGCAAGGUGUUAGUGGACCUCCAGGUGAACCAGGACAAGCUCAAAUAGGAAAAA